UAGGAGUAAAGUUUACCCUGCAGUUCCUUCUGUGGUGAAGUUUUCUCUUUCUCUCGGAGACCAGAUUCUGCCUUUCUGCUGGAGGGAAGUGUUUUCACAGGUUCUCCUCCUUUUAUCUUUUGUGUGUUUUUUUCAAGCCCUGCAGAAUUUGCUAGUCAACUCAACAGGAAGUGAGGCCAUGGAGGGAGGCAGAAGAGCCAGGGUGGUUAUUGAAAGUAAAAGAAACUUCUUCCUGGGAGCCUUUCCCACCCCCUUCCCUGCUGAGCACGUGGAGUUAGGCAGGUUAGGGGACUCGGAGACUGCGAUGGUGCCAGGAAAGGGUGGAGCGGAUUAUAUUCUCCUGCCUUUUAAAAAGAUGGACUUCAGCAGAAAUCUUUAUGAUAUUGGGGAACAACUGGACAGUGAAGAUCUGGCCUCCCUCAAGUUCCUGAGCCUGGACUACAUUCCGCAAAGGAAGCAAGAACCCAUCAAGGAUGCCUUGAUGUUAUUCCAGAGACUCCAGGAAAAGAGAAUGUUGGAGGAAAGCAAUCUGUCCUUCCUGAAGGAGCUGCUCUUCCGAAUUAAUAGACUGGAUUUGCUGAUUACCUACCUAAACACUAGAAAGGAGGAGAUGGAAAGGGAACUUCAGACACCAGGCAGGGCUCAAAUUUCUGCCUACAGGGUCAUGCUGUAUCAGAUUUCAGAAGAAGUGAGCAGAUCAGAAUUGAGGUCUUUUAAGUUUCUUUUGCAAGAGGAAAUCUCCAAAUGCAAACUGGAUGAUGACAUGAACCUGCUGGAUAUUUUCAUAGAGAUGGAGAAGAGGGUCAUCCUGGGAGAAGGAAAGUUGGACAUCCUGAAAAGAGUCUGUGCCCAAAUCAACAGGAGCCUGCUGAAGAUAAUCAACGACUAUGAAGAAUUCAGCAAAGAGAGAAGCAGCAGCCUUGAAGGAAGUCCUGAUGAAUUUUCAAAUGGGGAGGAGUUGUGUGGGGUAAUGACAAUCUCGGACUCUCCAAGAGAACAGGAUAGUGAAUCACAGACUUUGGACAAAGUUUACCAAAUGAAAAGCAAACCUCGGGGAUACUGUCUGAUCAUCAACAAUCACAAUUUUGCAAAAGCACGGGAGAAAGUGCCCAAACUUCACAGCAUUAGGGACAGGAAUGGAACACACUUGGAUGCAGGUACAGUAGAACCCAAAAGAGAAAAGUAAAAUAUUUCUUAUGCCUAUUUUUUUUUAAAUCAAAAGGGAGAGAACAAAAGCUAUACCAAAAGGGCCAUGUUUCAAGAAAACGGAUUUAAACAUAUUUCCCUGUGGAGGGGCUUUGACCACGACCUUUGAAGAGCUUCAUUUUGAGAUCAAGCCCCACGAUGACUGCACGGUACAGCAAAUCUAUGAGAUUUUGAAAAUCUACCAACUCAUGGACCACAGUAACAUGGACUGCUUCAUCUGCUGUAUCCUCUCCCAUGGAGACAAGGGCAUCAUCUACGGCACUGAUGGACAGGAGGCCCCCAUCUAUGAGCUGACAUCUCAGUUCACUGGUUUGAAGUGCCCUUCCCUUGCUGGAAAACCCAAAGUGUUUUUUAUUCAGGCUUGUCAGGGGGAUAACUACCAGAAAGGUAUACCUGUUGAGACUGAUUCAGAGGAGCAACCCUAUUUAGAAAUGGAUUUAUCAUCACCUCAAACGAGAUAUAUCCCGGAUGAGGCUGACUUUCUGCUGGGGAUGGCCACUGUGAAUAACUGUGUUUCCUACCGAAACCCUGCAGAGGGAACCUGGUACAUCCAGUCACUUUGCCAGAGCCUGAGAGAGCGAUGUCCUCGAUGCAGCUUCAGGUAACAGUACACCUUCUGAUCCAAAGGUGAUUUCCAUGGGAACCAGAAGCAGCUGCAUGUAAUGGCAAGACCAUCAGACUCCCAGGGGAGAUGGAUUUAAAAACCACCCUCAGUCAUAGAACUGAGCAAACUCAGAAACUGGGAGACAAAUGUCCUGUGUUGUUUUGCAUAGAAACAAGGACACAGGUGAAUGGGAGAAGUAUAGACACAUCUCCACUCCACCUCAAGUGAACUAUCUGGCUUUGUGUCACUGGCCUAGAGUGACAUACCUCCCUCCCGAAAACACCUGUGCCUUGACAUAACUAGGGAGCAGUUGGUCUAUCUUCCUAACCCAUUCCUCAUUCAAACUCCUUCCCACUCCUAAAGAGAACUCAGCUAUGUCUUUUUCAGCAGCAGCCGCACUUCAGAUGAAUGUUCUCUUCCGUCAGGAUCUGUAUGGUGUGCUUAUACUUUUCUUCAGCUUCAGCAAACUUGGUUUGAAGCAUUUUCUCCAGAUUUCCCACUAUAGCUUUCUGAAAGACAUACAUUUUAAUAGCCAUCUUCCCCAACCCAGAGCCAUCCAGGGCCGAGCUAUAUGGCAGAGCUGGAUGGAGACCUGGGUUCUUCCCCCAACCCCCAUCCCCACUCCAGUAGGGACUCACCUCUUUCUGGAGUUCCAACUGGGUAUAGUAGAGGUUUGUGUUCAGUGACUCUAGGAUAAGGGCUUGUGCAUGCAAUUCUUCCUCCAUGACCUGCAUAAGAAGAAGCUGUUGCAGGACAUCAUGCCAAUGUCUAUUUAUUUAGUCUCUUCUCCAGAGCACCUGGACUAUGAUGAAAGGGAGCAACCUGAGCUACUUUUGCAUCACUCAUGGCCACUCACACCCUGUCAGUCCUGCCUCCUCUCUGUGUCACCCAUCUAUAUCCUUCUCUUCAGCCUCACCAGAGCUCAUAUGAAUGGUUCCAAUGGCAAUCAGUUAUUCAUUCACUAAGCAAGUCUUUAUUAAAUACCUACUACCGAUUCCAACUAUAUGACACUCUGGAAAAGGCAAAACUAUAGAGACAUAAAAAAGAUUAGUGGUUUCUAGGGAUUUGGAGGGGAAGGGAGGGAUGAAUAGGUGGGAUAGAGGGCACUUUUAGAGCAGUGAAACUAUUCUAUAUGACACUAUAAUGGUGGAUACAUGACAUGACAUAUUAGGCAAAACCCACAGAAUGUACAACACAAAGAGAGAACCCUCAUGUAAACUAUGGACUUUAGUUAAUAAGAAUGCAUCCACAUUGGCUCAUCAAUUGCAACUAAUAUGCCAUCCCAAUGCAAGAUACUAAUAAUAAAGGAAACUAGUGGUGGGGUAGGGUGGGGUGGGGUAGUAUAUGGGAACUCUCUGUACUUUCUGCUCAAUUUUUCUGUAAACCUAAAACUGCUCUAAAAAGUAGCUUCUUGAAACAAACACACAAACUUCCACUAAAGAAUGAAUAGAAGCCUGUGCAAAGGUCCUUAGAAUGCAAAAUGCUCAGGGGUGGAGCCAAGACAGCCGAAUAGGAACAGCUCCAGUCUACAGCUCUGAGUGUGAGCGAUGCAGAAGAUGUAUGAUUUCUGCAUUUCCAACUGAGGUAUCGUGUUCAUCUCACUGGGGAUUGUCAGACAGUGGGUGCAGGACAGUGGGUGCAGUGCACUGAGCAUGAGCCGAAGCAGGGCGAGGCAUUGCCUCACCCGGGAAGUGCAAGGGGUCAGGGAAUUCCCUUUCCUAGCCAAGGAAAGGGGUGACAGAUGGCACCUGGAAAAUCAGGUCACUCCCACCCUAAUACUGCAUUUUCCAACAGUCUUAGCAAACGGCACACCAGAAGAUUGUAUCCCAUGCCUGGCUCGGAAGGUCCUACGCCCACGGAGCCUUGCUCAUUGCUAGCACAGCAGUCUGAGAUCAAACUGCAAGGCGGCAGUGAGGCUGGUGGAGGGGCGCCCACCAUUGCUGAGGAUUGAGUAGGUAAACAAAGUGGCCAGGAAGCUCGAACUGGGUGGAGCCCACCGCAGCUCAAGGAGGCCUGCCUGCCUCUGUAGACUCCACCUCUGGGGGCAGGCAUAACCAAACAAAAGGCAGCAGAAACCUCUGCAGACUUAAAUGUCCCUGUCUGACAGCUUUGAAGAGAGUAGUGGUUCUCCCAGCAUGCAGCUUGAGAUCUGAGAAUGGACAGACUGCCUCCUCAAGUGGGUCCCUGACCCCUGAGUAGCCUAACUGGGAGGCACCCCCCAGUAGGGGCAGACUGACACAUCACACGGCUGGGUACUCCUCUGAGACAAAACUUCCAGAGGAACAAUCAGACAGCAACAUUUGCUGUUCACCAAUAUCUGCUGUUCUGCAGCCUCCGCUGCUGAUACCCAGGCAAACAGGGUCUGGAGUGGACCUCCAGCAAACUCCAACAGACCUGCAGCUGAGGGUCCUGACUGUUAGAAGGAAAACUAACAAACAGAAAGGAUAUCCACACCAAAACCCCAUCUGUACGUCACUGUCAUCAAAGACCAAAGGUAGAUAAAACCACAAAGAUGGGGAAAAAACAGAGCAGAAAAACUGAAAAUUCUAAAAAUCAGAGUGUCUCUCCCCCUCCAAAGGAAUGCAGCUCCUUGCCAGCAACAGAACAAAGCUGGACGGAGAAUGACUUUGACGAGUUGAGAGAAGAAGGCUUCAGAUGAUCAAACUACUCUGAGCUAAAGGAGAAAGUUCGAACUCAUGGCCAAGAAGUUAAAAA